rnacentral:rRNA from 1 species
UGAGGAAUAUUGGUCAAUGGACGGAAGUCUGAACCAGCCAAGUAGCGUGCAGGAUGACGGCCCUAUGGGUUGUAAACUGCUUUUGUAUGGGGAUAAAGUUAGGGACGUGGCCCUAUUUGCAGGUACCAUACGAAUAAGGACCGGCUAAUUCCGUGCCAGCAGCCGCGGUAAUACGGAAGGUCCAGGCGUUAUCCGGAUUUAUUGGGUUUAAAGGGAGCGUAGGCUGGAGAUUAAGUGUGUUGUGAAAUGUAGACGCUCAACGUCUGAAUUGCAGCGCAUACUGGUUUCCUUGAGUACGCACAACGUUGGCGGAAUUCGUCGUGUAGCGGUGAAAUGCUUAGAUAUGACGAAGAACUCCGAUUGCGAAGGCAGCUGACGGGAGCGCAACUGACGCUUAAGCUCGAAGGUGCGGGUAUCAAACAGG